rnacentral:lncRNA from 1 species
AAAUCUUAAUUCUAAUAGAAUACUAACAAUGCUCUAAUUAGACCAUAAUAAUGCUAAGUAAGCUUAAUCAAAUUUAAAAAAAACCUCAAAGAAAUUUCAAACAAAUAAUAGGAAUUCUUAAACAAAUAUUAGAAGGAUCACAAAUAUCACUCAAAUACAUAUCAAUUUAAUCUUAAUUUAAUUUUGGUUAAAAUACUGUUGAACUUCAUUCAAACUUUAGGCCAAAAUUAAUUGAAUCUUAAAUCCUAAUAAAAUCCUAAAUCCUAAAUCAAACCCUAAACAAACCUUAAACCAAAUCCCAACCAAAUCUCAAAUCAAAUCCUAACCAAAUCCUAAACCAAAUCCUAAACCAAAUCCUAAUCCUAAAUCAAACCCUAACCAAAUCCUAAUCUUAAUUCAAAUCCUAACCAAAUCCUAACCCUAAAUCAAAUCCUAACCGAAUCUUAAUCCAAAUCCUAAACCCUAGAUCAAACCCUAAUCAAACCAAAAAUCCUAAAUAAAAUCUUAAUUAAAUCCUAAAUCAAAUCCUAAAUACUAAAUCAAAUCCUAAUCAAACCCUAAAUCCUAAAUAAAUUCUAAAUACCAAACUCUAAUCCAAACCCUAAAUCCUAAAUCAAAGCCUAAUUCAAAUCUUAAAACAAAUCCUAAAUCAAAUCCUAAACCAAAUC